rnacentral:tRNA from 1 species
AGUGCAACGUGGUAACGCACUCGAAAUGCGGCAUACUUCAAGGGUAUCGUGGGUUCGAAUCCCACCCUCUCCGCCA